rnacentral:rRNA from 1 species
GAUGAAUGCUUGCUGUGUGGAUAAGGCAUGCAAGUCGAGGGACACCUUCGGGUGGACCGGCGGACGAGGUAGUAAUACGUAGGACUACAUACCCCAAAGUCAUGAAUAGCCCAUCGAAAGAUGGGGUAAUACAUGAUAUCUCUUCGGAGGAAAGAUUUAUCGCUUUGGGAAUGGCCUGCGGAGUAUCAGCUAGUUGGUAGUGUAAUGGACUACCAAGGCUACGACGCUUAGGGGGAGGUGAGAGCCUGGCCCCCACCGAUGGGACUGAGACACGGCCCAU